UGCUUGCGUCGCGACUGGCGCUCAAAUGGUCACCAUUGGGGAGCGACGAAUGCCCUGGUAGGAACGGGCGGAUCGGCCGCGCGCCUGGGUCGAUACG
rnacentral:ncRNA from 2 species